rnacentral:lncRNA from 1 species
AACACCAUCAAAAGUGCUUUCACAAAUAACUCAGCUCCUUUAUUUGUAUGAUUUUGAGUACUUUGAUGAUGACACUCUUCACUGAUAUUCUUGAAAUCCUGUUUUAUAAACCUGUGCCAUUCACUCUCUCAUGACCCAGUUCUCUACAUCUACCUCUCUCCACACACACAAAACCAAAGCCUCCUUCAGCCUCCUCCCUGACUGCCUCCUGUUAUCUUGCCUCCCUUUUCUUCUUCAUUCUCUCAUCAUGAAAGCCAGAGAACCCAUCUGGCUGGGCCAGGCACUUCUCAGAGGGUGGAGUCAGGAAAUGGGUUGCGAUGGUUAAUUUUAUGUGUUAAGUUGGAUGGGUCACAGUGCCCAGAUAAUUGUUCAAACAUUAUUCUGGAUGUUUCUGUGAUGGUGUCUUUUUGGAUUAGAUUUACAUUUAAAUCGGUGGAUCUUAAGUAAAGCAGAUUACGCUCCCUAAUGUGGAUGGGCCUCUGGGCCUCAUUUAGUCAUUUGAAGGCUGUAUGGAACAAAGACUGAUUUCCCCUGCCCAAAAAGGAUUCUGCCAGCAGACUGCCUUGGGUCUCACUGCAACUCUUCCCUGGACCUCCAGUCUGUGGUCUAUCCUGGAGAUUUUAGGCUUACCAGGCCUCCAUAAUAAUGUAAGCCAGUUUCUGAAAUUAAAUCUCUCCCUCUAUACACACAUCCUGCUGCUUCUGCUUUUCUGGAGAGCCCUGACUAAUUCAUGGCCCAAGCCUGAAUUCUCUUUUCUGGGCAGGGGACGAGGAAAGUCUGGUAAUACAUCUACAGUUAAUUUUAAUGACAUCACAGGUAGAAAGAUUCUGGAAACUGACUUUUUUUUUUUUUCCCCUCUGCAGGUGCAGAUCAUAUUUUCUGCUUAGAGCAGAUUCCUUCCUGGGCAGACAUUGAGCACACAGCCAGCUGCAGUGGGCACCAGAGACAUUGCGUCCUUUCUACUCUUCAUGUCCUGAUCCCAGUGAUAAUCUUUGAGGCCCCAGUCGGUGGUUCUUUUUUUUUUUUUUUUUUUGAGAUGGAGUUUUGCUCUUUUGCCCAGGCUGGAGUGCAGUGGUGCGAUCUCAGCUCACUGCAACCUCCACCCACCAGGUUUAAGUGAUUCUCCUGCCUCAGCCUCCCGAGUACCUGGGAUUAUAGGCAUCUGCCAGCAUGUGCAGCUAAUUUUUGUAUUUUUGGUAGAGACAGGGUUUUGCCAUGUUGGCCAGGCUGGUCUCAAACUCCUGGCCUCAGGUGAUCCACCUGCCUCGGCCUCCCAAAGUGCUAGGAUUACAGGCAUGAGCCACCAUGCCUGGCCCAGUAAGUGGUUUUUAAUGAGGGUGAUUUUGCCCCCUUUGGGUACAUUUGGAAUGUCUGGAGACAUUUUUGAUGAUCAUGCCUGGGAGGUGGAUAGUGUUACCGGCAUCUAGUGAGCAGAGGCCAGGGAUGCUGCUAUAUAUCCUAGUAUAGGUACAAGCCCACUGCCACUCCCUAAUGAAGAAUUAUCUAGCUCAAAAUGUCAAAGGCACUUGAACCAGAGUGACUCCAUCUUGAAUAGGGACUCAGUAAAAUGAGGCUGAGACCUGCUGGGCUGUAUCCUCAGGAGGUUAUGCAUUUGUAGUCACAGGAUGAUAGGAGGUCACAAGAUACAGGUCACAAAGAUUCCACUGAUAAAACAGGAUGCAAUAAAGAAGUCUGCCAAAAUUUGCUAAAACCAAGAUGGCAGCAAAAGUGAUCUCUAGUCAUUCUCACUGCUCAUUAUAUGCUAAUUAUAAUGCAUUAACAUGCUAAAAGACACUCCUACCAGCACCAUGACAGUUUACAAAUGCCACAGCAACAUCCAGAAGUUACCCUAUAUGGCCUAAAAGGAAGAGGAACCCUUCAUUCUGGGAAAUCCCUGCCCCUUUCCUGGAAAACUCAUGAAUAAUCCACUACUUAUUUAGCAUAUAAUCAAGAAAUAACCAUAAAAUUAGCCAACCAGAAGCCCUCAGGGCUUUUCUGUCGAUGGAGUAGUCAUUCUUUUAUUCUUUUGCUUUCUUAAUAAACUUUCUUUCACUCUAGUCUGUGGACUUGCCCCAAAUUCUUUCUUGUGUGAGAUCCAAAACCCCUUUCUUGGGGUCUGGAUCAGGUCCCCUUUCUGGUAACAAAAAUGUCAAUAGUGCUAAGGUUGAGAAACCCUAAUUAAGGUAAUUAAAUAAUAGAUAAAAAAGACAUUCCUUUCAAUCCUACCUUCCAAAAAAUGCACACACACUCUCUCUUUCCUUCUCUUUCUCUUUCUAAGAUCACUUUGUAAGCUGAGAGAAUUAUGACAGAGACUGGAGCGACAGCAUUUUAUUUCACUGUAUCUCUGUCCUUUAACACCUCAGUGCUCCCAGCCCCAGGCCUCUUGUGUCCCAGCAUAAAAUCUGUGAGAUUUAAACAUAUACUAUGAGAUGCCUUAUAAAACAUACAGAAUAUGAUCUGACAAGGUCCUUUGACAAUGCCCUCUUUCGCACAAAAUCUUCAGGCAGUAAUUCAAUUUCGAGGCUUUUCUCCUAUUGAAAUACGGUGUGUGACACUACCCAGGCCCUGGACUGCAGCACAAUCUUCAGCACUGGGCAUUUUUUUUCCUGGGUAAUGGAUUUUAUUUCACCAAAAAUAAGCAUUAAAAGGCUUCCAAGGGGACACCAUUGUGCUUACUGAUUUUUUUUUUUCUUUGGAAAAUGUGAGAUGUUGCUGCAUAAUGACAAUAAUCAUUAACUUUAGGUUUAUUCUGGGGUUAAUGAAUUAUUAUAGUGCAGUGAAAAAUUAUUCUCCAAUAAAUGUUGAAUUCCAUUUUUUCUGAAACUUCUCUCUCUUUUUUUUAUAUGUUUGGUAUUUUUGUCUUUUCCAUUAAAGAUGUGCAGAUUUCAGAUGAAUAGAAUUUGUCUGUGUUUUCUUUACCUGCUUCUGACUCUUAAAAAAAUCCCAUGUUAAUUAUUAAGCUGCAUUGGGGAAAAUAAAUGAUAUUCAGUAGCUCUCCUAUUCCUUAAUAAGAGAUUCUUGGUGAACUUAGUGGAAACGUAUUUUUUAAAGCUAAUAAGCUUUAAAAAUUGGCCAUUUCCACAAAAUUUUCAAGUUCAACCUGAUGGAUUAUAAGGCUUCUAUCACCAAUGUCAAUCCUUCUUAUAUGGAUUAUUUAUGACAAUGGCAGGAAAUAGAUCUGUUGAGCUGAUGGAACUGUUUCAGAAGGGCAUUCAACACUAGCCAGAUCCCUCUAUUACACUGAAGCAGUCUCUGGGUGUGGGUCAAAGUUGUCAAAAUGAGUUUGAGGACAUGCACAGCUUUACUCAUGGCUUCCCCCUCACCCACUUCCUGCCCCUGCUCUCCUGUCUGAG